AAAUUGAAGAGUUUGAUCAUGGCUCAGAUUGAACGCUGGCGGCAGGCCUAACACAUGCAAGUCGAACGGUAACAGGAAACAGCUUGCUGUUUCGCUGACGAGUGGCGGACGGGUGAGUAAUGUCUGGGAAACUGCCUGAUGGAGGGGGAUAACUACUGGAAACGGUAGCUAAUACCGCAUAACGUCGCAAGACCAAAGAGGGGGACCCUCGGGCCUCUUGCCAUCGGAUGUGCCCAGAUGGGAUUAGCUAGUAGGUGGGGUAACGGCUCACCUAGGCGACGAUCCCUAGCUGGUCUGAGAGGAUGACCAGCCACACUGGAACUGAGACACGGUCCAGACUCCUACGGGAGGCAGCA
rnacentral:rRNA from 1 species